GUUUUUUUAACAGUGUGGAGAAGGACGUUUUGCCAGAGAGUGUCCGCAUGUUGGUGGGGGCGGUGGCAGUGGUCCGUUGACGUCACAAAUAUGGGGAAGGGGGACAUUUCUCGAAGGAUUGUCCACAAGGGGGCCGUGGCGGUGGAGGAAGUCGUACGUGCCAUGAGAAGAUGGCCAUGUAGCAAGGGAUUUUCCACAAGGAGGUGGCAUUGGUGGCAGCAAGUGUUACAAUUGUCAUUAAGUUGGCCACACCUCGAAAAGGCUGCUAGAAUCUAUUCAUUGCAUUGACGGAAGAUGGAAAGCAGUGUGAACAAUACAUUCCGUAAGCUGGGACAUGCGAUGAGAAGGAACUGAUUGAGGGCAUUGUCUGUAGGGAAUGCUUUAAUAAUUUUGAUAAAGUCGUCCUCCAGGUUACAGGGAAAGAUGUACCUCAAUACAUAACAUCAUGCAAAGAAGCCAGCCUGUGCCCACUACUACUUCAAAACAUUAAGAGUUCUGGCUACAUAAAACCAACACCUGUACAGAAAGCUUCAGUUACAGUUAUUCUUGCCAAAAGAGAUUUAAUUGCUUGUGCUGUUACGGGCUCCGGCAAAACGGUAAUCCAAUUAGUUAACGCUGUGUAAUUUUGAAACCUUGAUGCCCUCGUACUGACUUGAUUCGAAUGGGUCGGUAUGAACUGGGUAAGUUGAAGUAAAAGUAAUUUUGAGUGGGCACGCCGGUGAUUGCGACUACUAAAAGGUCCAAUUGCAUCUAAGAUACUCAACAAACCCUUUGAUAUUUGUUGGUUAAGUCAUCUAAAAUUUUACAUUUUUUCAUGUAGGCGGCGUACU